CUUAGGAGCCGAUGAUGUUUUCCUUCAAGAUGUCUGAACCUGUCUGAAGCAUCCCAGUGAUGCAAACUAUUGUGCUGAGGCUUCUCUGCUC